rnacentral:misc_RNA from 1 species
GCAAACUUGGUCAUUUAGAGGAAGUACAAGUCGUAACAAGGUUUCCGUAGGUGAACCUGCGGAAGGAUCAUUAACAAAUCAAUUUGGUUGUAGAUGCUUGAUGUGUGUAUAGGAUUACUAUAUAUGCAUCUAUUAUCAUACACCUAACAUUUGUGCUCCAGGCAUUUCGUCUGGGUGCAAUUAUAUAUAUAUAUUCAUUAUUGUCAGUUGUUUUGUCUAUUUUAAAUUUUAUAAUCAUACUUUUAACAAUGGAUCUCUUGGCUCUUGCAUCGAUGAAGAACGCAGC